UACGAAGGGGGCUAGCGUUGCUCGGAAUUACUGGGCGUAAAGCGUACGUAGGCGGAUUGUUAAGUGAGGGGUGAAAUCCCGAGGCUCAACCUCGGAACUGCCUUUCAUACUGGCAAUCUUGAGUCCGGGAGAGGUGAGUGGAACUCCUAGUGUAGAGGUGAAAUUCGUAGAUAUUAGGAAGAACACCAGUGGCGAAGGCGGCUCACUGGCCCGGAACUGACGCUGAGGUACGAAAGCGUGGGGAGCAAACAGG
rnacentral:rRNA from 1 species